GACAGAGGGUGCGAACGUUGCUCGGAAUUACUGGGCGUAAAGCGCGUGUAGGCGGCGCCGCACGUCGGGUGUGAAAUCCCGUGGCUCAACCAUGGACGUGCAUUCGAAACUGCGAAGCUUGAGUAUGGAAGAGGGUCGCGGAAUUCCCGGUGUAGCAGUGAAAUGCGUAGAUAUCGGGAGGAACAUCCGUGGCGAAGGCGGCCACCUGGACCAACAUUGACGCUGAGGCACGAAAGCGUGGGGAGCAAACAGG
rnacentral:rRNA from 1 species